ACCGAGUCCCGUUGACAACAGUUGACAACACUGCGCAAGGUUUGAAAACACGAGUUCCGUGGUUUCGUGUGUGGUGUUGAUAAUGAAUAAAAUUGAGUUUGUUUAAUUGUGAUUUUUACAGUACAGUGAUAUACGUUUACUGAUAUGUAGUCAAGAUGAUGAAGGACUAUUGUAUGACGAACGAUUCCUUAGCACCCAUAUGCAAAUACGGCAUAUGCCGUGUCCGUGAAAAAUGAUAAAAGAGAAUUGUCUAUGAAAAAUGUGAAGGUGCUUUGUUGUGCUCGUGAUAGGAGACCAGAUUACGCAGCAGUGAGUUUAGACAAAGAGUUGGAAGAAAAGGAUUCAAGAAGUGCGUACACAAGAGAUACGACGAUAAAGCGAUUGCUGAUGUCACCACACACUGAUCUGAUACACGAAGACCAGAGAUGAGGAUGAUCCAUCUGCGAAGAUUAUUGUGACAACAGAAUGUGGCAUUCACCAAUGUAGAUGAGAAGAGAUAUAAACGUGAGCAAAUCUUUGGAGUCAAGAUCGAGUUGGAAAGAGAGCGAGAGAGGACCAAAUUGGAGAGAUCUGACUCAUCGGAGGAACUAUCAGAUUCUGAUGAGAUAGAAAAAUGACAAAAAAUAUUGAUCAAACGAUUAUCAUCCAAGAAGAUGGUUCCUGGAUGAGUAUACGUGUCUGAUCAAGGAUGAGAUGAUGAGAAGAUACUGAGAAUAUUGAUGAGAAGAUAUGUGGAGAGAAAAAAGUUCUCAGGUCUAGUGUAAAACAGCUCAAUUUAUUCCAAGUCUGAAUUUUAUAAAUGUUUUCGUCGAAGUCCGCACGCUUAUCAGUCACGCUAGUCGAAUCCUCGAUUUUUUCUUAUUUUGAUUUUUUUUUGUUUGUGCUCCAAGCACGCGUCGUCAACUAGCUUACAGGCUUUAGGUUAUUGAAUACAGAAGCAGAGGUGGUAUGUGCUUCGAGUAUGGUAUAUUCACAUCUGCAAUCCCAACUUUAUACUUUUAGUACCAGCCAAUCCUCUUCUCCAAAUGUCUCCCAUUUUUAUUCUUGCCUUGUAUCGAUGGCAGCAUCAAACAACAUGCUUUCGCCAAGAAAGGGACUUGAUUUACAUUAAGAUACCUUAACCGAUCAUUCAUCCAUCCUUCAGAACAAUCAUACCACCUAUCCUACCUAUCCUAUUCCUCCAUAUACCUUUAAUCUUAUCUGCACCUUGUCUACCAUACCUCCUAAAUUACCGCCACCACUAUUAUUUACGAUACGCCAUUUGCAUUACCUUACUUUACAAUUUACAACUUACCUCGAAAUAACACAGUCAUAUACAUAACACAUUACAUUGCAUCACAACCUCUAUCAUCUCUCAUCCGAUACAAACUAUAAUUUAGACCUAACUUAUAAUUUAUACCUAUUAUUUACAACUUACAAAUAUACUAAUUACAGAUACCGUGAACUUUGUUUACCAUUAUUACAAUUAUUACAAUGUUUCAUAUUUCCAUUAUUUACAAUAUACACAUUCCUGCUAACAUUAACACUUGUUGCACUACUCUAUUCUUACUCCUCCUUACACACUAUCUUGCCUAACUUCUAAAUUCGCCUCUCUCCUCUUAAUCCUACUUCUCUUUACCUUUUCCGCCCAAAUUUCUUCAAUAUUCCCCUUUUUUCUUCCCAAAGUUCAUCAUUGCACAACUUCCUUAAUCUCUCUUCUCUUAUCCUACCCCAAACCGAUGAACCACUCUUUUACCUCUCUGCAUUCUCCUACAUAAUGCUUUAAACUAUCCCAUCCCUCUGCACAAAACCAACAUUUUUUUUCUCCUCCUUAAUCCAAUACUUGUAUGCCUCCUCCAUGUUUCCACAUCUUAAUUUUGCUAGUGCCCGUACAUCAUUCCCCACAUGUGCCUUACAAAUAUUUUCUUUCAAUAAAUAUUUGGGUUUUUCGAUACCAAGAUCCCACUGUCCAUAUCUCCUAUUAUACCUUGACUCUCGCAUCCGACUGUCCUCUAACUGUAUCUGUAUGUCCUGUUCCCUUUCUCUUAACAUUACCUCUAAAUCUUUUCCUUCUUCUCUCAAACCUUCCUAUGCCUCUGUUCCCCAUCCAUUUCUGUUAAAAUACUUCUCUCUUUCAACACUGUACUAAUCUUUAUUCCUCUCUGCCUGCCUGUCCUUUUCUUUCCAACAUGCCUGUAUUAAUUUUUUUCUAUCCUCCAAUCUACUUUUUUCCUAAAAUUUCAUUGCACGUAUCCCCCAGUCCACUUUAGCCUUCUAAAGUCGUUAAUAGGAACCUUAAUGUUUUUUUUUUUUCUGGAACUGUUCCGGUUAGAGCGGAAAUGCCUUCAAUCCCGCCUUUGGAUUAUUUAACGUAAAACCUGCAACACGUCUAACAUACUUAAAUAAUCUUAUCUAUUUUCUUAAUGAAAUUAUAGAUAAUAUCCAGUUUACGAAUAUCGAGGCGCUUUAUAAUCGAAAAAUAUCCUCCGCCCCAGACUUAUCAUUUUUGCUCAACUCUUCGUAUAGCUUUUCUCUGUUUGUAUCGUAUCGGAUGCAACUCCAGACAACAUGAUUUAUGUCUUCCGUUUCAUGCCCGCAAUCACAACGUGCAGACGUAAUGUAUCCUUUUCUAGCCAAAGAAGCGUUCAAAUUAUAAUGAUUUGCGCGCAAGCGGUUGAUCCAAGAACAAAAAUAUCGUUCUUUACGUAAUUUAUCGAACCACGGCUUUUUUCGAUCGCGUUUGUAGUAAUUUAGAAAGUAAUUACAUCCCUUGUAAGCUCCCUGGGCCAUAACUAAGUUUUGUGUACUUUGCCAUGCCUCGUCUGCAAAAGUCUUGAAAUUAUCGAAAAUCGGCACCUCAAAUUCGUGUUCAACCUCACCUCUCGCCCCUCCUUCGCUGAAAAGUCCGCUACCUCAUUACCCGUAAUGCCUCGAUGAGACGGUAUCCAAGCAUAAAUUAUCCUAAUGUUAAACCGAUUGCGCAAGGCGAAAUGCAAUCGACGCGAGCGCAAUAUAAACGGAUUUUUAUAUGGUGAUAAUCUAUUGUCUGUAAGAGCCUGUAGCGCACUACGACAGUCCGAAAAA
rnacentral:misc_RNA from 1 species